AUUGAACGCUGGCGGCAGGCCUAAUACAUGCAAGUCGAACGGUAACAUAAGAAAAGCUUGCUUUUCUUGAUGACGAGUGGCGGACGGGUGAGUAAGAUUUGGGAAACUACCUGAUAGAGGGGGACAACAGUUGGAAACGACUGCUAAUACCGCAUACAGCCUCAGGGUGAAAGAAGCGAUUCGCUAUCAGAUGUGCCCAAACGGGAUUAGCUAGUAGGUGAGGUAAAGGCUCACCUAGGCGACGAUCCCUAGCUGGUCUGAGAGGAUGAUCGGCCACAUUGGGACUGAGACACGGCCCAGACUCCUACGGGAGGCAGCAGUAGGGAAUAUUGCACAACGGAGGAAACUCUGAUGCAGCCAUGCCGCGUGUGUGAAGAAGGCCUUCGGGUUGUAAAGCACUUUCGGAGGGGAGGAAAAAAAUGACGUUAGCCUCAGAAGAAGCACCGGCUAACUCCGUGCCAGCAGCCGCCGUAA
rnacentral:rRNA from 1 species